rnacentral:rRNA from 1 species
UCUGGUUGAUCCUGCCAGUAGUCAUAUGCUUGUCUCAAAGAUUAAGCCAUGCAUGUCUAAGUAUAAAUAGUAUACAGUGAAACUGCGAAUGGCUCAUUAAAACAGUUAUAGUUUAUUUGAUAAUUGACAAUUACAUGGAUAACCGUGGUAAUUCUAGAGCUAAUACAUGCUUAAACGCCCGACUUUAUGGAAGGGUGGUAUUUAUUAGACUGAAGCCAAUAUUCCUUGUGUCUAUUGCGGUGAUUCAUAAUAACUGAUCGAAUCUCCUUUUGAGAUAAAUCAUUCAAGUUUCUGCCCUAUCAGCUUUCGAUGGUAGUGUAUUGGACUACCAUGGCAGUAACGGGUAACGAAGAAUUAGGGUUCGAUUUCGGAGAGGGAGCAUGAGAAACGGCUACCACAUCUAAGGAAGGCAGCAGGCGCGUAAAUUACCCAAUCCUGACUCAGGGAGGUAGUGACAAGAAAUAGCAAACCGGGAACCUCAUGGUUUCACGGUAUUGCAAUGAGAACAAUUUAAAACCCUUAGCGAGAAUCAAGUGGAGGACAAGUCUGGUGCCAGCACCCGCGGUAAUUCCAGCUCCACUAGCGUAUAUUAAAGUUGUUGCAGUUAAAAAGCUCGUAGUUGAACCUCUGUCUGGGGCUAGUUUUGGCUUUGGUCAGGCUAGUUCUAGGCAUCCGCCUACAAGACUUAGAGGGCAUUCAGUUGUUCACUAGGAGGAGUAGGCAUUUUACUUUGAAAAAAUUAGAGUGUUUAAGGCAGGCAAUCGCCCGCAUAUAUUAGCAUGGAGUAAUAGAAUAGGACACUUUUCCAUUUCGUUGGUUAUUGGAAUCGUGUAAUGAUUAAUAGGGACAGUUGUGGGCAUUUGUAUUUAAUUGUCAGAGGUGGAAUUCUUGGAUUUAUAAAAGACAAACUAACGCGAAAGCAUUUGCCAAGGAUGUUUUCAUUAAUCAAGAACGAAAGUUAGGGGAUCAAAGACGAUCAGAUACCGUCCUAGUCUUAACUAUAAACUAUUCCGACUCAAUGUUUGACUGGCCUAUAUAACCAGUUGAGCGUUGUAUGAGAAAUCAAAGUCUUUAGGUUCUGGGGGGAGUAUGGUUGCAAAGCUGAAACUUAAAGGAAUUGACGGAAGAGCACAACCAGGAGUGGAUUCUGCGGCUUAAUUUGACUCAACACGGGGAAACUUACCAGGUUAAAACAAUAGUGGGAUUGACAGUUUGAGAGCGCUUUCUUGAUUGGUUGGGUGGUGGUGCAUGGCCGUUCUUAGUUGGUGGAGUGAUUUGUCUGCUUAAUUGCGUUAACGAACGAGACCUUAACCUGCUUACUAGACUGGCGAUCAUCAAUCGUUAGCUCUUCUUAGAGGGACUUUGGUUGUUUUAACUCCAAGGAAGU